rnacentral:rRNA from 1 species
GCCCGCUCAGAAACUUAAAGGAAUUGACGGGGGCCCGCACAAGCGGCGGAGCAUGUGGAUUAAUUCGAUGCAACGCGAAGAACCUUACCUGGGUUUGACAUACACCGGAAAACCGUAGAGAUACGGUCCCCCUUGUGGUCGGUGUACAGGUGGUGCAUGGCUGUCGUCAGCUCGUGCCGUGAGAUGUUGGGUUAAGUCCCGCAACGAGCGCAACCCUUGUCUUAUGUUGCCAGCACGUAAUGGUGGGGACUCGUAAGAGACUGCCGGGGUCAACUCGGAGGAAGGUGGGGACGACGUCAAGUCAUCAUGCCCCUUAUGUCCAGGGCUUCACACAUGCUACAAUGGCCAGUACAGAGGGCUGCGAGACCGUGAGGUGGAGCGAAUCCCUUAAAGCUGGUCUCAGUUCGGAUCGGGGUCUGCAACUCGACCCCGUGAAGUCGGAGUCGCUAGUAAUCGCAGAUCAGCAACGCUGCGGUGAAUACGUUCCCGGGCCUU